UCUGAAUUUAGCCCAAAAUGAUACCCAAAAAUAUCCCCAAAAUAUCCCCAAAAUAUCCCCAAAAUAUCCCGAAAAUAGCCCCAAAACUAUCCCCAAAUAUAUUCCCAAAAUAUCCCAAAAUAUUCAGAAUUU
rnacentral:lncRNA from 1 species